GAGAGGAGGUUCCCUAAUGAUGUGAAGCAUCAUUUUCUAAUGGGGACCGACGAAAUGCCGCCGAAGCUUUAGCUGAGGGGAUAUGCCGGAUG
rnacentral:sRNA from 1 species